UAUCUGCGCGAUGAUUGAUGCGGGCCCGGGUUUUUCUGUCAGCCUGUCACGGCGCAGGAAUGUUUAAUGUUCUCAUUAUUGGUUACGCUGUUGUGUAUAUUUCUCUGUCAGCACCGCGGACCCAGCUGAACUGGCAGAGCACUUCAAAGGCCUGCGGGUCAUUCAUCAUCCCCAUGACGCUCCGGCAAAUGCUCAGCUUCAGCCCCGCGCCAGGGAUUUGUUAUGACUUGCGAGCCGCCUGACAGACAGGGCCGCGGCGGCCGGGAGGGGACGCGCGGGAGGCGGGCUCCGGGCCCUUCCUGUCACGCCGGGCCCACGACUCCGACUCGGAGGGCCGGCGGCGGCGCGGGGCCGUGACAUGAUUAAUCGUUUUCUUCUGAUCUAAUUUUGGAACAUGAAAAACAGCACAUUUGUCUUGAAGAAAAAUGAUGUGCCGAACUGCGCAGAUGGAAAUUUCGAGCAAUGAGAAAGAUUAAAGUGAAACCCCACUCCUUA